rnacentral:tRNA from 3 species
UCCCCGGUCGUCUAACGGUAGGACAGCGGACUCUGAAUCCGCGAAUCAUGGUUCGAAUCCAUGCUGGGGAACCA